CCGUCUCGAUCUGAUCCGGGCUGAUGAAGUGCACGUGGGUAUCGAUGCCGCCGGCCGUGAGGAUCUUGCCCUCGCCCGCGAUGAUGUCCGUGGCCACGCCGAUGAUGAUGUCGACGCCGUCCAUGGUGUCCGGGUUGCCGGCCUUGCCGAUCUUGAAGAUGUGCCCGUCGCGCAGGGCCACGUCGGCCUUGUAGAUGCCGGUCCAGUCGAUGACCACCACGUUGGUGAUCACGGUGUCCGGGAUGCCGACGUCGCGGACCAGCUGCCCGUUCUGGCCCAUGCCGUCGCGCAC
rnacentral:sRNA from 1 species